CCUCCUUUCAAACCAGGGAUCACAGCCUGGAACAGGCAGAUGUCUCCUUCUUUCUCUGGCCCUUCCAUGGGUCCUGGGCUUCUCCACUGCGUAACCAUUUGUCUCCUGGUAGCAGGUUCUAUGAGUGCUGUGGUCAUACAGACCCCAAGACACCAGGUUACCGGGGUGGGGAAGCCAGUGACCCUGAGUUGUUCUCAGACUCUGAAUUAUGAUAGCAUCUACUGGUACCAACAGAAACCAAGCCAAGCACCAAAGCUGCUGUUGUACUACUUUGAUAAGCUAUUGAAUAAGCAAACAGACACUCCAGAUAACUUCCAAUCCACCCGGCCUAACACUUCUUUCUGUUCCCUUGACGUCCGCUCAGCAGGCCUGGAGGACUCGGCUCUGUACCUGUGUGCGGGAGCUGGCACAGAGCUGCAGGGCUCUCUUGGUGAAGAAGUCACUCAGACACCAAAGCAUCUGAUCAAAGGGAAAGGACAGAGAGUAAAAAUGCUUUGUGUCCCCAAAAAAGGACACAACUACAUUUUCUGGUAUCAACAGAUCCUGGCAAAAGAGUUCAAGUUCUUGAUUUCUUUCCAGUAUAAUAAGGUCUUAGAUGAAUCAGAGAUGCCCAAGGAAAGAUUUUCAGCUGAGUGCCCUGAAAACUCACCCUGCAGCCUGGAGAUCCAGCCUACGGAGCUGCAGGAUUCAGCAGCAUACCUGUGUGCCAGCAGUGAAUCCACACUGUGA